AGGACGAACGCUGGCGGCGUGCUUAACACAUGCAAGUCGAGCGGAAAGGCCCUUCGGGGUACUCGAGCGGCGAACGGGUGAGUAACACGUGAGUAAUCUGCCCCUAGCUCUGGGAUAGCUCCGGGAAACCGGGAUUAAUACCGGAUAUGACUCCUUCAGAUAUCUUGAGGAGUGGAAAGAUUUAUCGGCUAGGGAUGAGCUCGCGGCCUAUCAGCUUGUUGGUGGGGUAACGGCCCACCAAGGCGACGAUGCGUAGCCGACCUGAGAGGGUGAUCGGCCACAUUGGGACUGAGACACGGCCCAGACUCCUACGGGAGGCAGCAGUGGGGAAUUUUACGCAAUGGGCGAAAGCCUGACGUAGCGACACCGCGUGAGCGAAGAAGCCUUUUGGGGUGUAAAGCUCUGUCAGCUGGGACGAAAAAAAUGACGGUACCAGCAGAGGAAGCAUCGGCUAACUACGUGCCAGCAGCCGCGGUAAGACGUAGGAUGCAAGCGUUGUCCGGAUUUAUUGGGCGUAAAGAGUUCGUAGGCGGUUUGUUAAGUCUGAUGUUAAAAAUCGGGGCUCAACCCCGGGGCUGCAUUGGAUACUGGCAGACUGGAGUGCGGUAGAGGUAAGUGGAAUUUCUGGUGUAGCGGUGAAAUGCGUAGAUAUCAGGAAGAACACCGGUGGCGUAGGCGACUUACUGGGCCGUAACUGACGCUGGGGAACGAAAGCCAGGGGAGCAAAUGGGAUUAGAUACCCCAGUAGUCCUGGCUGUAAACGAUGGAUACUAGGCGUAGUGGGUAUCGACCCCUACUGUGCCGCAGCUAACGCGUUAAGUAUCCCGCCUGAGUAGUACGGCCGCAAGGUUGAA
rnacentral:rRNA from 1 species